UACGUAGGUGGCAAGCGUUGUCCGGAUUUACUGGGCGUAAAGAGCGCGCAGGCGGUCGUUCAAGUCGCGUGUGAAAGCCCCCGGCUCAACUGGGGAGGGUCACUCGAUACUGGCGUGCUUGAGGACUGGAGAGGAGACUGGAAUUCAUGGUGUAGCAGUGAAAUGCGUAGAGAUCAUGAGGAAGACCAGUGGCGAAGGCGGGUCUCUGGACAGUUCCUGACACUGAGACACGAAGGCCAGGGGAGCAAACGGG
rnacentral:rRNA from 1 species